ACGGGAGGCAGCAGUGGGGAAUAUUGCACAAUGGGGGGAACCCUGAUGCAGCAACGCCACGUGUGGGAAGAAGCAUUUCGGUGUGUAAACCACUGUCGUGAGGGAAUAAUGCUUGAUUUCGGUCAAGUUGAAUGUACCUCGAAAGGAAGCACCGGCAAACUUCGUGCCAGCAGCCGCGGUAAUACGAGGGGUGCAAGCGUUGUUCGGAAUCACUGGGCGUAAAGGGAGCGUAGGCGGAGACGCAAGCAGUCUGUACAAUGCCGGGGCCCAACCCCGAACCUGCAGACUGGACUGUGUCUCUUGGAUGGUUCAGGGGCAGGCGGAAUUCCUGGUGUAGCGGUGGAAUGCGUAGAGAUCAGGAAGAACACCGAUGGCGAAGGCAGCCUGCUGGGGACUCAUCGACGCUGAGGCUCGAAAGUGCGGGUAGCAAACAGGAUUAGAUACCCUGGUA
rnacentral:rRNA from 1 species